rnacentral:rRNA from 1 species
UACGUAGGGGGCAAGCGUUGUCCGGAAUUAUUGGGCGUAAAGGGCUCGUAGGCGGUCUGUCGCGUCGGGAGUGAAAACUCAGGGCUUAACCCUGAGCCUGCUUCCGAUACGGGCAGACUAGAGGUAUGCAGGGGAGAACGGAAUUCCUGGUGUAGCGGUGGAAUGCGCAGAUAUCAGGAGGAACACCAGUGGCGAAGGCGGCGACCUGGGCCAAUAUUGACGCUGAGGUGCGAAAGCGUGGGGAGCAAACAGG